CGCCGCCAUUUUGAGUGAACCAGUACUUAGUGUCUAUAGGGAAGAUCUAAAGAACGCUUCCACAGUGGGGAUCGAACCCGUGACCUCCUGGUUGCUAGGCGGACACCAUAUCCUUUACGCCACAGCUACCUCAGGGUUUGGGGUAACGGUACAGUUUGUCAAGGUAUUCCGAAUCAUUAGGCAUUCUGAAUCCACAUUUUCAUUUAAAAAGUCUUAACGUUUGGUAUGCGAUUUGAAAGGUUAUUGUUGUUUCUAAAAAUUUAAUCCCCCAGCCUGUAAAGAAUGAAGAAUCAUUGUUUUUGAUGAAAAUGUUGAUUCAGAAUGCCUAAUGAUACCUGUACCCUGAGGCGGGGGAAAUAGGGCAUCAUUUAAAAAAAAAUUUGGACUUUAAACCAAACAUGAGAAACAAUAUAAUAUGUUUUUUUAAUCACUUGAUUAGUCUUUAUUACCGCCAAAUUAAAUACAUAACAAUUCUAUUUAGUUUUAAACAUUUUAAACUUGACAAUUCUGGGUCUAGGGCAAUUAAUUUGCUUGAGUGUCGGGUGAAUUUUUAUCUGGGGAAAAAUUAAUACUUUUUUGUUGAGGGAAUGGGGCCUUAUUUUGGCCAAGUCUUGAAUCGUUAUAAGACGGUAUAUAAUAUUAUAUUUUCCUGUCAAUAAUAUCUGCAAGGGGAGUUAAACAGUAUAGAGUGAUAUAUACAUGUACAUGGUCACUCUUAAUGUCACUCAAAUAGAUAAAGUAAUCAGUAUUGCUAUUUAAUGGUAUGUUUUUUUCAUGAGAAUAAACUUAAGGUUAAUAGUGAUUACUUUGUAAAAUAAAACAAAGCAUGUGCAAAUAUUGCAAUAAAAUAUUCAUUUUUAACACCAUUAAAAAAAAGUUAACAAUAUCUAUACACAUUCCUUGGUAUUUUACCCUAGCAUAACAGCUUCAAUCACAUAAUCAUUAUUUCAAUCAAUUAACUGGGUCCGUUAUCUCAUCAUCUCUUAAUAAAUCAUAUAUAUUGAUAGCCACCUGCUUCGUACACAUUUCAAACUAAUAUUUCAGACACCAAACGCAAAGCCUAUCCCAAGGCAAUGCCCCAUUUGCGUGGUAAAAGGCAACACGACUGUGUACCUCUGGGUAACAGACCACGUUCGCUGGGUGCAAGCGCUGACGGCAGACCCCAUGAAGCCGUUGAUGUCAGAGGCACGUGCUAAGACCGGUCGGAAAGUGAAGAAGACAAAGCCGACGAAUUACUACUCUUGCUGGCUGUGCGACCGGUCGGUGAUUGACCGGCUGCGUCAUCUAGAACAGGAGCACAAAAUGGAGGCUGGGACAUUCAAUUUUGUUUACACAAGAGGGCUGUUUCCGGAAAGUCGCGAAAACUUCAGGAAAGGUGACCAGCAGACUCGCCACUCAUGAUGACUCGGCAUAGGAGGAUGAGAAGGUGGAGGAUGAGGAGGAGGAGGAGGAGGAAGAGGACUUUUCAUUCCUAAGGCGGAAAUACUGCCUGAGCCUGGAACCCAAUGCAAGGGUGAUGCAUGGUCGGAGAAGCUGCAAUUUCAAUCGUUGACUCAUAUGUAGACUACAUGUUCCUGCGGAGCAGGCCAGGUGGGUUGGCAAACGAGUCGAAAACACAAGAGGUCAACAUGAAGAUCAACCGGUUCCUGGCCCUGUCUGGCUACUUGGAAGGAGUGAUGUUGAGUGACGUGCUGUUGUGGAUGGGCCAUAUGGAGGUCCACGACAGUUCCUCAACACCACUCACCAGCUGAAGACGGUGCGGAAUGCACUAACGGCAAUCAAGAACUUCCUGAAGUGGUGCGAGGGAAUGGUCUAGCGGACGCCCGCACAUUGAACAAUGCUUCCUGACCUCAACCUGCCUGGAUAAGAGCCGUCGCGAGGUUGUUCGGAGGGUAGAGGAGAGUGCAGCCAUCCUGACGGACGCAAACCUGGAGCGCCACUUCACUGAAAGUAGGUGUACCUAGAGAUUGAGCUGGAGACAGUGAAGGUGCUGACCUCUGUGUGGAACACUUAGAAGCUGGCAAGUUUUCAUAUUGAAGGGUAUGGUUCCCAACCGCCCAUCACACACAGAAUGUAGCUUGUCGUCUUCCGCAGUAAAAACUGGGUGCUGGAAGAUGCUUACUGCUAUAUUGACUGCUUCCGAGCGCUUCCUGGACCUAAAAAUUAUCUCCCAGCAGCAACCUCCCCAAGGUGUGACGAGAGUCUUCAAGUGUUCCAGACGGCUGGUGAUGCAUUUCAAGAAAAGCCAUCAAAAUCUUGCAAUGAUCUGUAUACUUAAUAAAUGACAAAACAACAA